GCCUGGGUGGCUCAGUCGGUGAAGCGUCCGACUUCAGCUCAGGUCAUGAUCUCACACACAGUUCGUGGGUUCAAGCCCCACAUCAGGCU
rnacentral:tRNA from 1 species